UAUAUUAAACACUAAGCAAUCAGAAAGAUAGAAAUUAAAACUUAUUCCCUUGAAAAUUUAUUCAGUAAACAUUUGUUGAAUACACAUUAUGUGCCAGGCUCUAUAUUAGAGCAUACAAAAAUAAAUUGAACAAAAUCUAUUGACAGUUUAGGGGGUAAGACAUUGUAUAAACAAAAAUACUUGUAAUUAUCUGCUAAUAAGUACAGAAUCACUUAUGGACAAAGUAUUGUGGGACCAGAGAAGAGGAAAUGUUACUGGAAAGGGGUCCCAAUCCAGACCCCAAAAGAGGGUUCUUGAAUAUUACACAAGAAAGAAUUCAGGACGAGCUCAUAAAGUGAAACCAAAUUUAUUAGAGAAGUAAAGAAAUAAAAGAAUGGUUACUCCAUAGGCAGAGCAGCACUGAGGGCUGCUUAUGGCUUUUUCUUUUUCUUUUUUUUUUUUUUAAUUGAGAUGAAGUCUCGCUCUGUCACCCAGGCUGGAGUGCAACGGCACGAUCUCGGCUCACUGCAACCUCCACCUCCCAGGUUCAAGUGAUUCUCCUGCUGAGCCCACAGAGUAGCUGGGAUUACAGAUGCGUGCCACCUCACCCAGUUACAUCUUCCUGAGGAUAGAGCCUACAUAGAAGUUCAGCAAAUAUCUGGUCUUUUCCACACCUGGGAAGAUGUGGGUAUAGGCCACUAUGUGUUUUCCUUUCAAAAUGGUAAGUUCAUCUUGAUUUUUUUUAUCUGUUUUGGGGGUAGGACAGAGACACUCUUCUAGCACAUUGACUAUUUGUCUUUUUCUUUAAGAAUGAACCUUAGAUUAUAAAUUCUAGGAUUGCAAGGUACUGGUUUUUCCACAAGUUCGUAUGUAUUGGGAAGCUCAGUUUUAUGGACAAUUAUGCUGAUUUGGGGUGGAGGGUAUAGGGGUCAUUCCACAAACACUCAUGUUGCUCACUUAGCACAUUCCAGGCACAGUGCUAGAUGCUGGGGAUGCAAUACACAAGACAGACAAAGGUGUCUGUAUGGAACUUACAUUCUAAUUGAGGGAGGAGAGACAGACAAUAAUCCAAAAAAAUAAAAAUAAACACGAUAGAUAUAGAGUGUGGUCAGUGCUGUGAAGGAAGUAAAUAAGACAAUGUGAUAGAGAGCGAGUGAUAUUUGAAUUGGAACUGGAGGGUGAGAAUGAGCCUACCUUUAGGAAGAGCUGGAGCUGGGAAAGCAUUUGGUGACAUUCCCUAGGACAGAAAGGGGAGUCAGUGUGGCAGGAGCCAGGUCACAGCUGUCAUAGGAGUUUGGAUUUCAUUCUAAAAGCAAUGGAAAGUCAUUGGAGGGUAAGCAACACAGGAAUGACUACACCUGAUUUGUGUUUUUAAAUAUAAAGCAAAUCAAGAAACAUAAAAUAUGAAACAUAAAACAUUUGGCAUGUGGGUGGAGAAUGGGUUGUAAGGGGAGGUGGUCAGAAUGGAAUUGGACUCUGCUAUCUCCUCAGCGACCUCUUACCUGAAGACCGUGGGUACCAGGCAAAUAGCAGGAGCAGAAGACUCCACUUCCAACCCCCUUUCCAUACCCCUAAGAAUCCUUUCUUCCUGAGUCCCAGCACUGUAAGGAAGGUUCUGUGUAUAUGUGAAGAGAGCAGAGGUUCCACAGGAGAACUUGGGCAUCAGAGCCCCCAAAGCAAGGGCAAGGUCUUCUCUUAGUCCUUUUCCAGACUUUUCCACAAUUCAACUGUGGUUCCCUAGACUAUUGGAAGGUCCUAGUUGCAUGUGAUGACUCAAUGAUCUGGCCACAGGACCUGUGUCACCAAGCCAGGUAGUCAGUCUCUAACAGAAGCUGGGGAAAUAUUAGUAGGUGUUAAUGAAAAUGACAGUCAAUAAUGAAAUGUGAUCAAAUUACUGAAUAACGUUACCGAAAAACAUCAGCAAGUGGCAGGAAGAGGACCUCUAAGCCUUUUGAACUAGAACCGAAGCAUAAAAGGAACUUUAAAAGCCAUCAAUCCCAGCACUUCGGGAGGCCGAGGCAGUCAGAUCACCUGAGGCCAGGAGUUCAAUACCAGCCUGACCAACAUGGAGAAACUCUGUCUCUACUAAAACUACAAAAUUAGCCAGGCGUGGUGGUGCAUGCCUGUAAUCCCAGAUACUCGGGAGCUGAGGCAGGAGAAUCACUUGAACCCGGGAGAUGGAGGCUUCAGUAAGUUGAGAUCACGCCGUUGCACUCCAGCCUGGGCAACAAAGAGUGAAACUCUGUCUCAAAAAAAAAAAAAAAAAAAGCCAUCAUCCCAGAAGAUUUGAUAAAUUAUUUUGUCUCAAACAUAGUUUGAUAUAUAAAUGAACUUACAUGUAGUAUCAUUAUUUUUGGAAGUAAAUUUGUGGCAUAUAAGCAAAGUAUUUAAGAUGAGGAUAUCAUUUAUUUAUGUUUCUCUAAUGUACCCGUUACUUAUUAAGUUUAUUGAUGAUAUUAUUUAUUAUUUUAUACAUCUCAAAAUAAAACAAGGAUAGAUUUAAAUUUUUAAGAAGCUCAUAUUUCUUAGUGUAUGGAACAUGAAAGUGGAAUAUUGGCCACGCUUUCUUUAAUCUCAUUUUUUUUCUUUUAAG
rnacentral:lncRNA from 10 species